rnacentral:rRNA from 1 species
GAUGAACGCUGGCGGCGUGCCUAAUACAUGCAAGUCGAGCGAACAGACGAGGAGCUUGCUCCUCUGACGUUAGCGGCGGACGGGUGAGUAACACGUGGAUAACCUACCUAUAAGACUGGGACAACUUCGGGAAACCGGAGCUAAUACCGGAUAACAUGUUGAACCGCAUGGUUCAACAGUGAAAGACGGUCUUGCUGUCACUUAUAGAUGGAUCCGCGCCGCAUUAGCUAGUUGGUAAGGUAACGGCUUACCAAGGCAACGAUGCGUAGCCGACCUGAGAGGGUGAUCGGCCACACUGGAACUGAGACACGGUCCAGACUCUUACGGGAGGCAGCAGUAGGGAAUCUUCCGCAAUGGGCGAAAGCCUGACGGAGCAACGCCGCGUGAGUGAUGAAGGUCUUCGGAUCGUAAAACUCUGUUAUUAGGGAAGAACAAAUGUGUAAGUAACUAUGCACGUCUUGACGGUACCUAAUCAGAAAGCCACGGCUAACUACGUGCCAGCAGCCGCGGUAAUACGUAGGUGGCAAGCGUUAUCCGGAAUUAUUGGGCGUAAAGCGCGCGUAGGCGGUUUUUUAAGUCUGAUGUGAAAGCCCACGGCUCAACCGUGGAGGGUCAUUGGAAACUGGAAAACUUGAGUGCAGAAGAGGAAAGUGGAAUUCCAUGUGUAGCGGUGAAAUGCGCAGAGAUAUGGAGGAACACCAGUGGCGAAGGCGACUUUCUGGUCUGUAACUGACGCUGAUGUGCGAAAGCGUGGGGAUCAAACAGGAUUAGAUACCCUGGUAGUCCACGCCGUAAACGAUGAGGG